AGAGUUUGAUCAUGGCUCAGAUUGAACGCUGGCGGCAGGCCUAACACAUGCAAGUCGAGCGGCAGCGGGAAGUAGUUUACUACUUUGCCGGCGAGCGGCGGACGGGUGAGUAAUGUCUGGGAAACUGCCUGAUGGAGGGGGAUAACUACUGGAAACGGUAGCUAAUACCGCAUGACCU
rnacentral:rRNA from 1 species